AGUUUCAGCUUAGGUAUUAUUCUCCUCAUUAGUUGGGCACAAUAUCCUUUGUUUUCCCAAAGCAUUCUGCAUGUACUCAUCCUGUCAUUUUACCAGAAGAGUAUCACUUCCCAUUUGGACUGUAAAAGAGGGCUCCAUGAGCAUGGAAAUAGACUAUCUGGCUGCCUAGUCUACAGCCCUGAGGACAAAAGCAUCAUCAGUGACAAGGAGACGUCCUGCUGGGGAGUAAGAUUUUACCGAGACCCAGUUGAGGAGACAUAUGUGGGGAACUUGGAUCGUCUGAGACAAGCUGUCAAUGCCAGGCAAGCAGCGAUAUGCGAGCUUGUGACCUUCAGUACAGUCGCUCAGUCGUGUCUGACUCCUUGUGACCCCAUGGACUGCAGCACGCCAGGCUUCCCUGUCCAUCACCAACUCCCGGAGUUUGCUCAGACUCAUGACCAUCGAGUUGGUGAUGCCAUCCACAGUGAUGUGACCUUACUGUCCUCUUUAUAUCUCUUAAGAGUAGUACAGUAUAAAUGAAAAAUAACAAAAAAAAAGAUAUUUUGUCAGAGUUCACUGUGAACUUCAAUAAAAUAAUACAGGUCAUCUCAUAUAUGGCAAACUUCACAGUUAAGUUCUGCACAGUUUUUACCUCCUUCCAAUGUCAUAGCAACUCUGUACAACAGUCCGGGCUGAUAUAUUACUCCCAUUUUACAAGUGGUGACAGCGAAGCUCACAGAGGUGAGCAGCUUGCCUAAGGUCAUAGGGAGUAGGUGGAAGGGCCACAGGGCUCACAGAUUCCUGGACUUUCUCCCUUUCUAUCAUUUGGUAAUAGAAGCUUAGUAUUACUUUAGAACCUUAAAACCCCCAAAUAGUAAAUGUAACUUAGUACAGUUUAUAAUACACACAGAAAAUUAAGGCAUACCAGAAAACUGAAAUAUUCACUACUCCCUCAAAGAAAAAUAUGUCAAACCUAUGAAGAGGUGAGUGGGAUUUUUUUUUUUCAAUCACAUUAGCAGAUUAUCCCAUCUUACAGAGCAGAAUUCAAGGGAAUACAACACAGAACAGAUAAGGUUUUGUUUUGGAUAGAGAAAAUAAUAAUGGAUAAUAUUUUAACAUACCAUGGCAGUGCUAUGUAUUAUUUGUAUUACCUAAUGCUCAAACAAUCCAUUGGGGUAGACAAAAUUUUCAUUCUGAUUUAGCAAAAGAAGAAACUGAAGAUUGAAGAGAUCAAACAGGUAGAAAGCAACAAAAGAUUUGGGAUUGGAUCCCCUGUUUAUCUCAUGCAAAACCCUGCUUUUUUAGCUGGAGUGAGGCCAUAUUAUACUCUAGAGAAUAGAGGGAGGCCAGAAGAACAAACAAAACCCAAGACCAAUUAAAGAUACAACUGAAAAAAUAAUGUUGAUCUUUGAGAUUGUUGUGUAUAUAUUCUUGGCCUGUUUCUCCUAUUCGCUUCUCCCCAUAAUUCUCCAAAGAAGCCACUGGAUAUUUCCUCUCCAGAUCUAAAGUUACUCUCUAAAAAGUGCCUGGAUCUCAUUUCGCAUAAAGGACAAGUGACUCUUCACGGUUUUAAAAGUCCUUGCUCCUGAAGCUUUAGAUCAAGCUUCAGUUAAUCCUUUGGAAGCUUAAAUUGCUUAAUUUUUAGGAACUGGAGUUUGGGGAUAGGAAAAAAAAAAAAAACUGCAAUUCUAAAAUGUAUGGCACGCAGUCAGUUGAUUUGAUAAGAAUGCCAAGACAGAAUUCCCUGGCGCUCCAGUGGUUAGGACUUUGCACUUUCACUGCCAAGGGACUGGGUUCAAUACCUGGUCUAAGGGAACUAAGAUCCCACAACAGCACAGCAAAAAGAAAGAAAGAAAGAAAGGAAGAAUGCCAAGACAAUUAAACAGAGAGGAAAUAGCCUUUUUAAAAAAUGGUGUGGGGACAACUGGAUAUCUACAUGUAAAAGAAUGAAUUUGGAUUUCUAUCUCGCACCAUAUAUAAAAAUCAACUCAAAUCUUUCAUAGUCUUAAGUGUAAGAGCUGAAAGUGUCAACUCUUAAAAGAAAGAUGUAAAUCUUCAUAUUCUUGGAUUAGGCAAUAUUUUCUUAGAUACGAUACCAAAAGCAUAAGCAACAAAAGAAAAAAAGAGUGAAACUGGACAUCAGUUCAGUUCAGUUCAGUCUCUCAGUUGCAUCCGACUCUGCGACCCCACGAAUUGCAGCACGCCAGGCCUCCCUGUCCAUCACCAACUCCCGGAGUUCACUGAGACUCACGUCCAUCGAGUCAGUGAUGCCAUCCAGCCAUCUCAUCCUCUGUCAUCCCCUUCUCCUCCUGCCCCACAAUCCCUCCCAGCAUCAGAGUCUUUUCCAAUGAGUCAACUCUUCGCAUGAGGUGGCCAAAGUACUGGAGUUUCAGCUUUAGCAUCAUUCCUUCCAAAGAAAUCCCAGGGCUGAUCUCCUUCAGAAUGGACUGGUUGGAUCUCUUUACAAUCCAAGGGACUCUCAAGAGUCUUCUCCAACACCACAGUUCAAAUGCAUCAAUUCUUUGGCGCUCAGCUUUCUUCACUGGACAUGAUCAGAAUUAAAAACCAUGCUUCAAAAAACAGACUCAAGUGAAAAGAUGAUCCACAGAAUAAGAGAAU
rnacentral:lncRNA from 1 species